rnacentral:rRNA from 1 species
GAGUUUGAUCCUGGCUCAGGACGAACGCUGGCGGCGCGCCUAACACAUGCAAGUCGAACGAGCGAGAGAGAGCUUGCUUUCUCGAGCGAGUGGCGAACGGGUGAGUAACGCGUGAGGAACCUGCCUCAAAGAGGGGGACAACAGUUGGAAACGACUGCUAAUACCGCAUAAGCCCACGGUGCCGCAUGGCACAGAGGGAAAAGGAGCAAUCCGCUUUGAGAUGGCCUCGCGUCCGAUUAGCUAGUUGGUGAGGUAAUGGCCCACCAAGGCGACGAUCGGUAGCCGGACUGAGAGGUUGAACGGCCACAUUGGGACUGAGACACGGCCCAGACUCCUACGGGAGGCAGCAGUGGGGAAUAUUGCACAAUGGGGGAAACCCUGAUGCAGCGACGCCGCGUGGAGGAAGAAGGUCUUCGGAUUGUAAACUCCUGUUGUUGAGGAAGAUAAUGACGGUACUCAACAAGGAAGUGACGGCUAACUACGUGCCAGCAGCCGCGGUAAAACGUAGGUCGCAAGCGUUGUCCGGAAUUACUGGGUGUAAAGGGAGCGCAGGCGGGAAGACAAGUUGGAAGUGAAAUCUAUGGGCUCAACCCAUAAACUGCUUUCAAAACUGUUUUUCUUGAGUAGUGCAGAGGUAGGCGGAAUUCCCGGUGUAGCGGUGGAAUGCGUAUAUAUCGGGAGGAACACCAGUGGCGAAGGCGGCCUAAUGGGCACCAACUGACGCUGAGGCUCGAAAGUGUGGGUAGCAACAGGAUUAGAUACCUGGUAGUCCACACCGUAAACGAUGAUUACUAGGUGUUGGAGGAUGGACCCCUUCAGUGCCGCAGUUAACACAAUAAGUAAUCCACCUGGGGAGUACGACCGCAAGGUUGAAACUCAAAGGAAUUGACGGGGGCCCGCACAAGCAGUGGAGUAUGUGGUUUAAUUCGACGCAACGCGAAGAACCUUACCAAGUCUUGACAUCCCUUGACGAUGCUGGAAACAGUAUUUCUCUUCGGAGCAAGGAGACAGGUGGUGCAUGGUUGUCGUCAGCUCGUGUCGUGAGAUGUUGGGUUAAGUCCCGCAACGAGCGCAACCCUUAUGGUCAGUUACUACGCAAGAGGACUCUGGCCAGACUGCCGUUGACAAAACGGAGGAAGGUGGGGAUGACGUCAAAUCAUCAUGCCCUUUAUGACUUGGGCUACACACGUACUACAAUGGCGUUAAACAAAGAGAAGCAAGACCGCGAGGUGGAGCAAAACUCAGAAACCACCUCCCAGUUCGGACUGCAGGCUGCAACUCGCCUGCACGAAGUCGGAAUUGCUAGUAAUCGCAGAUCAGCAUGCUGCGGUGAAUACGUUCCCGGGCCUUGUACACACCGCCCGUC